UACGGGGGGGGGCAAGCGUUGUUCGGAAUUACUGGGCGUAAAGGGUGCGUAGGCGGGUUGGUAAGUCCGUGGUGAAAUCCCCCAAGCUUAACUUGGGAACUGCCGUGGAUACUAUCAAUCUUGAAUAUCGUGGAGGUAAGCGGAAUAUGUCAUGUAGCGGUGAAAUGCUUAGAUAUGACAUAGAACACCAAUUGCGUAGGCAGCUUACUACACGAUCAUUGACGCUGAGGCACGAAAGCGUGGGGAGCAAACAGG
rnacentral:rRNA from 1 species